ensembl:misc_RNA Metazoa_SRP Metazoan signal recognition particle RNA
GCCAGGCGCGGUGGUGCGUGCCUAUAGUCCCAGUUAUUUGGGAGGCUGAGGCUGGAGGAUCUCUUGAGUCCAGGAGUUCUGCGCUGUAGUGUGUUAUGCUGAUCCGGUGUCUGCACUAAGUUCGGCAUCAAUAUGGUGACCUCCCGGGAGCAGGGGACCACCAGGUUGCCUAAGGAGGGGUGAACCGGCCCAGGCUGGAAACGGAGUAGGUCAAAACUCCCAUGCUGAUCAGUAGUGGGAUCGUGUCUGUGAAUAGCCACCGCACUCCAGCCUGGGCAACAUAGUGAGACCCUAUCUCUU